rnacentral:rRNA from 1 species
UACGUAGGGUGCAAGCGUUAAUCGGAAUUACUGGGCGUAAAGCGUGCGCAGGCGGUUUUGUAAGACAGAGGUGAAAGCCCCGGGCUCAACCUGGGAAUUGCAUUCGAGACUGAAUAGCUAGGGUGCGGUAGAGGGAAGCGGAAUUUCCGGUGUAGCGGUGAAAUGCGUAGAUAUCGGAAGGAACAUCAGUGGCGAAAGCGGCUUCCUGGACCAGCACCGACGUUCAGGCACGAAAGCGUGGGGAGCAAACAGG